CAUUCCUGAGGGCUGUGAACCUAAUGACAUUUUUUGCAUUCUUAGAGACCAGGACCUGCCAGCCAAGACAAUAUUUUGGGUUCUUUCCCAAAAUACUUAGUCAUCUAAAAUCAUAACCCUAUUGAAAGCUGCCUUCCUGUUCAACCCCAGUCAACAACUAAAACAGAGGCAUGUCACCCCUCUGGGGGUCAGGCUGAGUAUACUCUGCAGAGCUCUGCUUCCCACAAAUGUCAGGAGAACAAAGGCCAUGAAGGUGUUAAAGGGAAGCAAGCGAUCGACAGCAUUGGUUGGUGACAAACCUGUGGCUGGUCUGUGUAUGAUGGGAUGGAUUCCUCCUGCUCCCAGAAGGCACUGUACUUUCAGUGUUCAGGGCAGCCUUGCCUUAGUGCCUCAAACCUAUCCCUACAUCCUGCAGUAAACUUGGAAAGGUAACACCUCUAACCAUCAGGCCUUCCUCUGAAGCACAGUCAAGUUGCUCUUGGCAACCAUCUCAAUUUUAAUAGUGC
rnacentral:lncRNA from 1 species